CAAGGUUGUGAAUACGCCUAACAGGA
rnacentral:piRNA from 1 species